UAAUAUUCCUCCAGUUUUCUUUCUUCCAUAGGUGAUUUACUCCCUUCAGCAUAUUUUGGCCCUAAAGCUUGCUGAAAAUGAAGUAUUUCACCAAGUCUUUCCCUAUCACGUUAGAUCUUGUCACCAAAGUGACUUAGGCAUAAGCAAAAAAACACAUAAAAUUCACAAGAGAAAACACCUAGUGUUUUAUGUACAAAUCUAUCUAAAAA
rnacentral:lncRNA from 1 species